ACGUUCGUGCACUUUAGAGACAUUUUCCACCAAUUCCAAAUUUAUUAUUGGUUUCUUGCAGCUCUUAAAAGUUAAAAACUAUUUAAAUGAAGUUAACUAAGCAUCAUUUAUUUAUUUUUAUAAAGUAGUUAAAAAUAUUUCUUUUUAUUACAUGCAAAAGAUGAAAAAGAUGACUCGAAUCCAAUCUUUUUGUUAUGCUUUGAUAAUCUUUCUUUCUCUAGUUCUUGUCUCAGCCCAAAAAACUACACAUCCCUGCGUAAUAGAUGCUGAUUGUCCAGAAAAAUUAUGUAGAUCUCCUCUAUUUCCUGCUUGCAUUGAUCGUUUCUGUAAGUGUAUAUAAGUGUCACAAUCAAGUUGAAGAAAUAAUUUUGAUACAUGUAACCUUAAAAAGUUAUUUGUAUGUUGUAAUUUGGUACUCUUAUACUUUCAUUCAUGUUUUUUCACCUUUCAGUUUCUUUUACAUUGUAAUAUUAUACAAGUUACCUUCAUUUUAAUAAAUGAAAUAAUAUGUUGAAUAAAUAUUUACUC